rnacentral:rRNA from 1 species
AAAUUGAAGAGUUUGAUCAUGGCUCAGAUUGAACGCUGGCGGCAGGCCUAACACAUGCAAGUCGAACGGUAACAGAAAGCAGCUUGCUGCUUUGCUGACGAGUGGCGGACGGGUGAGUAAUGUCUGGGAAACUGCCUGAUGGAGGGGGAUAACUACUGGAAACGGUAGCUAAUACCGCAUAACGUCGCAAGACCAAAGAGGGGGACCUUCGGGCCUCUUGCCAUCGGAUGUGCCCAGAUGGGAUUAGCUAGUAGGUGGGGUAACGGCUCACCUAGGCGACGA